UCCCUGAUAGCUCAGUUGGUAAAGAAUCUGCCUGCAAUGCAGGACAGGAGAGCCCGGUUCGAUUCCUGGGUAGGGAA
rnacentral:tRNA from 1 species